UACAGAGGUCUCAAGCGUUGUUCGGAUUCAUUGGGCGUAAAGGGCGCGUAGGCGGCGGGGCAAGUCGGGUGUGGAAUCUCAGGGCUCAACCCUGAAACUGCACUCGAUACUGCUCUGCUUGAGGACUGGAGAGGAGACUGGAAUUCACGGUGUAGCAGUGAAAUGCGUAGAUAUCGUGAGGAAGACCAGUGGCGAAGGCGGGUCUCUGGACAGUUCCUGACGCUGAGGCGCGAAGGCCAGGGGAGCAAACGGG
rnacentral:rRNA from 1 species